AUGUUUUCCUCGCAGUCCGCCAGCCGCAUCAACAACAUCCGAACCUCCCUCAUCAAAGCGCAGAAGGGCAACCUCUCCAUCGCCUCCUACUUCGCCGCCAUGUGCGGCUACGCCGACGAACUAGCAGCCGCGGGCAAGGCGAUCCCCGACGACGAACUUGCCUCCUACAUCAUCCACGGGCUCGACGCCGACUAUCAGCCCCUAGUCUCUGCCCUCGACGCUCGCGUGACCCAGGUAACCCUUGAUGAGCUCUUUGCCAUGCUAUCCACUUUCGAUCAGCGCAUGGCUCAGUUCCAAGGAUCUGGCGGCGGCGGCUUCAAAUCGUCCGCCAACGUGGCCACUCGCGGGCGGGGCGGCGGCUCCCGAUCGCGUGGUUCCUCUCGCAACGAGGGCAGGUCAGGCGGCAGCAACCGUGGCGUCACGCCACCCCAAUCUGGGGCGCUGGUGGCGGUGGCAGAAACCGCCCAGAUGCUCCUCGGUGCCAGAUCUGCGGCAAGCCCGGGCACACAGCGAAGGACUGCUGGUAUAGGUAUGAGGAGGACGACUACGACUCGCAAGAUGAGGAGAAAGUCGUUGCGGCGGCCGAUGGCUCCUAUGGCGUCGACACAAAUUGGUACGUCGACAGCGGAGCCACCAACCACAUCACCAACGAGCUCGAGAAAGUCACUAUGA
rnacentral:rRNA from 1 species